GACGAACGCUGGCGGCGCGCCUAACACAUGCAAGUCGAACGAGCGAGAGAGAGCUUGCUUUCUCGAGCGAGUGGCGAACGGGUGAGUAACGCGUGAGGAACCUGCCUCAAAGAGGGGGACAACAGUUGGAAACGACUGCUAAUACCGCAUAAGCCCACGGCUCGGCAUCGAGCAGGGGGAAAAGGAGCAAUCCGCUUUGAGAUGGCCUCGCGUCCGAUUAGCUAGUUGGUGGGGUAACGGCCCACCAAGGCGACGAUCGGUAGCCGGACUGAGAGGUUGAACGGCCACAUUGGGACUGAGACACGGACCAGACUCCUACGGGAGGCAGCAGUGGGGAAUAUUGCACAAUGGGGGAAAACCUGAUGCAGCGGCGCCGCGUGGAGGAAGAAGGUCUUCGGAUUGUAAACUCCUGUUGUUGGGGAAGAUAAUGACGGUACCCAACAAGGAAGUGACGGCUAACUACGUG
rnacentral:rRNA from 1 species